rnacentral:rRNA from 1 species
UACGGAGGGGGCUAGCGUUGGUUCGGAAUUACUGGGCGUAAAGCGCACGUAGGCGGCUUUGUAAGUUAGAGGUGAAAGCCCGGGGCUCAACUCCGGAAUUGCCUUUAAGACUGCAUCGCUAGAAUUGUGGAGAGGUAAGUGGAAUUCCGAGUGUAGAGGUGAAAUUCGUAGAUAUUCGGAAGAACACCAGUGGCGAAGGCGACUUACUGGACACAUAUUGACGCUGAGGUGCGAAAGCGUGGGGAGCAAACAGG